rnacentral:tRNA from 1 species
GCACUAGUAGCUCAGUAUCAGAGCAUCGGUCUUGUAAGCCGGAAGUCGGAGGUUAAAAUCCUCCCUAACGCU